AUAGAUGCUGACUGCUAGAUUGAUGUAAGACACUGUUUGCCUGCCAAAGUUUUUUUCUUCCUUUUCCCCUCCCUUAACGGCGUUCGAUCUCUGCCGCCGUUUUUAAGAGGCUUUUUAAAAUUCUUGGAAAAAUCUUUAGGAGAGCCUAAGGAAUUUCAGCCUCACUUCUUUAACUCCUGUGUCAUCUUUCAGCACGUGGAUGGGGAUGAAAGCUUUGAUGGGAUUUCUGUCUGGAGCUGAAACAGAAAGCAAAGUUAUCAGUGCAGGCUGGUAGAAAUGUCCCUUCUGCUGGCUCUGUGGACUCAGAGAUGUUUUGGAUGCCAAGUCUGGCGGCUGUACGGACGCUCUUGGAUUUACACAGCUCACACGAGCUGGUGUUCACUCGUGAGGGAUCAUUUUUAAUCUCUGUGUAAAUCUGCCAUAACACUGUGGGCAGGAGAGAAGAUGGGAAUCUCCUUCCCAGACCCUUCAGGUGGCCUGAAAGUAAGGAAAGAAACCCCUUAGUGUGAUGGCAUCCAGCAGAACUCCUCAGGAUUCAGCUUCCAAGGGAUUUCCAAGUGCUUUCCUGAAGCCCAAAGAACUUGAAAGAUCUCUGGAACCCUUGAUAGCAUAAAAUCAUUGGCUGACAGGACAAGCCACUUCCAAAAGGGUCUCUUCUGCUGACCACCAAUGUUACCUGUUCUUGAUGAAGGGUCUUUCAUUUCCUCAUCAGGAGAACAGACAACUGCACUGCUGUUGGCUCAUUGAAAAAUUCUGUCCAGUCUUUCCAAUUUUUAAAAUAUAAUCCUAAGAUUAUAUUUUAAAAUGUAAGAUAUAAAAAUAUAAUAAUAUAUAAAAUAUAAAAUAUUAUAUUUUAAAAUACAAGACUAACAUGGUUUUUGUGUUUUAUCCUCUUCACACAGUUUUGGAGGCUUUUUCA